rnacentral:rRNA from 1 species
CAGUCGCCGCGGUAAUACGGAGGGAGCUAGCGUUGUUCGGAAUCACUGGGCGUAAAGCGCACGUAGGCGGCUAUUCAAGUCAGGGGUGAAAGCCCGGGGCUCAACCCCGGAACUGCCUUUGAAACUAGAUAGCUUGAAUCUUGGAGAGGCGAGUGGAAUUCCGAGUGUAGAGGCGAAAUUCGUAGAUAUUCGGAAGAACACCAGUGGCGAAGGCGACUCGCUGGACAAGUAUUGACGCUGAGGUGCGAAAGCGUGGGGAGCAAACAGGAUUAGAUACCCGCGUAGUCCCUGUCUCUUAUAC